rnacentral:misc_RNA from 1 species
CGCUGAAGCUUGGGCUGCCUCCAUUACCUUUUCUAUAACAAACUGGCCCAAUAUAAGCACUUCAAGGAUCUUUCUCCAGUCCCAUGUUAUCUUUACAAGGACACUAAUUGCAAAUAAUCCGAAGACAGCACCGGAAGCUCCUACAGAAACUGCAUUUCUUGGUAAGACUAACCAUGAAACAAGGUUUGCUCCAACACCAGUGAGAAUAUAAGAAAGCCACAAUGCAAAAUUUCCCUCCUCUUCUUCAACAAGUUUCCCAAAAAUGUACAAGAAAAAAAGGUUGCUUGAAAGAUGUUCCCAGCUAGCGUGGCAGAAUGUUGCUGUGACAAACUGGUACCAAGCAGGCCAAUUGUGAUACAAGUACAGAGAUUUGAUGCCACGGACCUGAAAAAAGUGAUCUGCAACAUAUAUUCCAAGAUUGAGAAGUAUAAUCCAGAAGACGCCAUUUGCACGUUUCUCUGGUUUUCUUCUCUCUUCUGGCUUGUCAAGUUCGAGC